AACGCACUUCCCUUUAGAGUGU
rnacentral:miRNA from 5 species